GUUUACGGCCAUACCAGCCUGGGUACGCCCGAUCUAGUCUGAUCUCGGAAGCUAAGCAGGGUCGGGCCUGGUUAGUACUUGGAUGGGAGACCGCCUGGGAAUACCAGGUGCUGUAAGCU
ensembl:rRNA 5S_rRNA 5S ribosomal RNA